CGCCGCCCCCGGGCCGCCGGGACCCCGCGCCGCCGCCCGCUCAGCUGUUUCCGGCCCGCGCCUGUGCUGCGGGAGGAGGCCUUGCGGCGCUCGGCCCGGCCCCUCCCGAUUGGCCCGCGGCGUCACGUGCCCGCAAUCAGCUGGGGCCAGCUGGGGCGGCUCGGGCGGCCUCGCCGGGCGGGGUGGGCGUGCGCCCGCCCGCACCCCCUGACGCCGCCCGCCGUCCGGGUAGCCGCGCCGCGCACUGCGGAUUGGGAGCCGCGAGGCGGAACUGCUCCCCGAAGAGCUGUUGCGUCCUGACGCCUAGUAACCCCCCCUCCGAGGGAGAGCCCGGGAAGGUGGACGACGAGCUCAUGGGAACUUAG
rnacentral:lncRNA from 12 species